UAAUUUUGUAGGACUUCAAUU
ensembl:piRNA 21ur-2934 ncRNA